CCACGACCAGAGGGUAGGAGACAGACCACCCUGGAAACAGCUGGCAUUCUCCCCCAGGAGCCUGUGUGUGGAUGUGGCUGUUAGCAUCAGAGGUUGCAGAUCUACCCCACCUCACCCCAAAUCCCCCUUUACCUGCUAUGAGGGAACUGGAAGCUGCAAGCAUCCUCAGCUGACAACUGCACCUCCACGAAUGGCGGGGUCUCUGUAGUAAAACUAUGACUGUCCUAUACCUACAAUUGUAAGUCGCAGUCAGUGGACAAACCAGAGGAAAUGUUGAGACUCCAACCCAGACAAAGAGUAGCUUCAGUGAUGGCUAAGGUUUGAUCCACCUAACAGAUGGUCCUCUUUCAUCUUGGAUCCCAGAUCCUUCUUGAGGGAAAAGUUUCCAGCCUCUUUUGCCUCUGCUCCCACAUUCCGAGAGGAAGUUGUCCCUCUACCUCCUUCUCAGAGCUCCAGACUCAAAAGUUUACCUACCAACUCACAUGUGCCCUGUGCCCAGCCUCCUUAUAUGAGUGUAGGGAAGGGUGCUGCUGUACAUCCUGACUCCCACUCUCCUCCUUGCCUUACCUGGAGCAUACAGGCUGCAGCAGCGAGUGUUGUUGCCAGUUCCAUUCUGGACCCUGCCAGGGCCACAGCUAGGCUCCUCAACUACACUCGGCUGACCUAGGUCCAGCACACAGAUCAGCGAGACUCCAUACAGCAUGGCCCAUGCCCCCAUAGUGCUUCUCCCGAGUCUUCUGUUAGCUGAUUUCAGGAGUUCCCGCUCCAACUUGCCUUGUCUCUGCCUCUGCCUCUGCCUCUGUCCCCACCCCUC
ensembl:antisense predicted gene 16008